AUGGGCUCUGACCUUCUUCUAUGGCCCAGCCCCGCAGGCUUCUGCCCUGAAGGCCCAGGGUGGAAAGAAGGAGAACCUGAAGCCUGCCCAGGAGGAGUGUAUCGGGGGCCCUGGCCAACAGCCUCACCUGUCAAGCAUCUAAGGACCCUCUCUCCCAGAAGCUCACCUGCCAUGGUCAGCCAGAAGUACCUGAGUACCACACCUUUACCUAUCCAAACCAAGCCUGGGCAGAUGCAGAGACCUGCUGGUAAGAGAAGGGUGCUGGGCAGUGGUGCCCCUAGGUAGCUCGAGGGCACGGGUCCCCGAGUCUUCCCCAUACCCUUUGAGUUCCAGCCCCCACAUGCUGAGCACCUACUUUUGUGCCAGCCCUUGCUGGGUCUUGGAGGGCUCCACAGAUGAAGAAACAAACACCUUCACCCUCCCCACUAUACACAACACACCAACGAGGUCAUAGCCUCAUUCAGGAGUCAGACAAAUAUAACCAACUGUUCUAUAAGACAGGUGGGGAUUGGCAUCAUCACCCCAAGUGCUAUGAGAGAUCAGGGGAGGGAAAGAUCAAUUCCCAAAGUCAGGAGUCACAAGAGAGUUGAUAGAGGGAAUGAUGUAUUCCAUCUGGAUUUGAGGGAAGUUGGGUUUUCUGAGGAGCCACUGAACAACACGAUCCCGGGCCCCCUGUUGUGGGAACACUGUGAGCCACAGAGCUUUCCAGAAUCACAAACUUUUCUUUAAUUCACACUGAGAAUCUGUUGUAAGGUGAUGGCCCUUGUACCCCAGAGCCCUGCCAUAUGGACAAAUCUAAGAAGAAUAAACAGAUGCUGCUCAGUGGGCCCUACA
rnacentral:lncRNA from 12 species